GUCUCUCAGUGGCCGGACAAGCACAGAAAAUUCACCCUCCUUCUGCCUCAAUCUGUUCAAUGGUCGUACAUACCAUCUCCUCUGAUGUUUUCUCUCUUUUCUGCUUUGUAGUAAUUUCAAUAAAAGUAACCCUCCAACUCCAAUGAGAUGCGCUCAGUCGCCAUUGUUUGAAAGUACACGAAGAAACUUUCCAUAGUGGCAAAGAAACCCCACCGCCAACUAGCGUUUUGGCAGUGAAUUGCAGAGCGAGGCAGACACACCAGCGCACAGUAGUGAAGACCAAAGACGUUCAGGUCUGGGUGGACAGAGGAGGGGUGCCUAGGCGCAACUUGAGUAGCAGCAGUACUCUCAAUGGAUACGAUUAAUAUUCCCGUUUCAGCCCGAUACAGCUAAAAAGCACAACUGCUUCCAAGGUUACAAUGAAUUGCAAAGGCAUUUUGAUCAGAUACGGAGAUGGGCCAAGGAAUGGCAAAUGGACUUUAGGUAAGUGUGAGGUGAUAUAUUUUGGGAAGUCAAACUGGGCAGGUUUGCUCACUGGAUCUUUAUUCCCUGAAGCACAGGGGGAUGAGAAGUGAUCUCAAAGAAGUUAAUAAAAUCAUGAGGGGUAUGGACAAGGUGGACAGUCAAGAGUCUUAUCACUGGGGCUGGUGGGUCCAAAAUUAGAGGGCACAGAUACAAAUGAGGAAUGCUAUUAAAGAACGGGAGGUAACUUCUUUACACUGAGGGUAACAAUUACUUGGAAUGAGCUGCAGAUACAAUUGCAACAUUUAAGAGGCAUUUGAAGAGGUACAAGGAGGGAAGGGUUUGGAAGAUUAUGGGCUGACAGGACUCGCAGGCAGGAUGCUGUGGGUGGCAUGGAUCAGUUGGACCAAAGGGCCCGUUUCCAUGCUUUGUUACUAUAUGAAUCUACACUUGUGCAUAUGACAAUAAACUCAUCAAAACCCUACGUCAAAGUCUUUGACAGUAUGACUUGAAAGAGAACCUGCAGAAGGUCCCAUGCACCUGUCACCUUGGUUCUUCUUGGUGGCUUAGAGAAAUGGUUUGGCAGAAGGUUUUGCAAGUACUUACAGUAAAUUUUGUCAAAGGUACACUCUGGGACCACAGUGCAAUGAGCACUACUCAAUAACCUUUUGAGUUUGUUGGAGCUGCACUUAGUCCAGGAAGUCGAGAGCAUUCCCUCACACUCUUGUGUUGUAUUUUGUAGAUGCGGAAAGGCUUUCUGA